UCCGCCCUUUCACCUUAUCUCGCUUGUAGCUACCAACGGCGCUUGCCAACCAAGCAAUAUCCGUGAACCACUUUCUCCGGAAAGGGCCGGCAAAGCAGCACAGGUAUUACCCACAUUGUGUAUUGCACUAGUGGCGAAGAUAAUGAGAACAUGGCCACUGCGGAUUAAAGUAGUGAGGUGGCAACGGUAAUCGUAGUGGAUGCUGGUGAGUUCGUUGAGGUUACUUAGAAGAAAGAAGAACACGAAAAGACGGAUCAGGCGACGCUAAAGAGGGGAAGGGCUCAUAAGCCAAACGAUCGUAAACGCUGCAGCAUACACAUACAGAUUAACAACGACCAGAAACUGCUACAAAGGAUAGAUAGCGGUAAAAGCAAACGAUGUCGGCGUAUACUGCUCACCUGUUUUCCAGCAGAGGCACGCGUGCCUAACUCCAGAAACAUUGCUCACCCUGACAGGUUUCGUCCUACUCGUCUGCGAUCGAUUCCAUUAAGUGCUUCACUGGCGGCGUUCAUCCGGCGAAUCACAACAGUCCCCAUCGUCUUCGUGAGAGGAUGCGACUGACCGUCGAUUCAGCUUCUGCUUCAGCACGGGCGUCCGCUGGAAGAAGACAAAAAAAACGACGAAAUAUCGGAUCAGCUAAAGCGAGAUCAGGAAAUCUACCGCCGAAAAGCAGAAAAACGACACGGACAGAGAAGUAACUGCGAACUGUUCCCGGAACCUCUACGCGACCAAGGUCAUCGCGGCUCGGCGAAUCUUGAGCCGUGAUAGCGGGUCGUUUCUUUGAUAGUACAGAUGCAUUCGAUCACUAGGAAAA